rnacentral:ncRNA from 1 species
UCAAAAGCGCCAGUCCCAGCCGAUGUAAGUCAGUUGGGAGACGAGGAGAAGGGAGUAUCGAAAGGACUUUCAAGUCCCAAAACUUCGGCGGAUGCCCUUCCGUAUGUCUCCAUAUGCGUCACACAGUCAGAAAACAUGCAGGUAACUGCAAAACAGAGGGGCUGUGAU